CUCCAUACUUGUUUCAUGCCCUAUGAAUCUAGGAACUGCCAUGUUCCCUCCGGAGAUUGUAACUUUGAGGGAUAAUAUAGUGAAACAAGUUGAGUAUUAUUUCAGUGAUGAAAAUCUUCAAAAUGAUCAUUACCUGAUUUCCUUGAUGGAUGAUCUAGGAUGGGUUCCGAUCUCCAACAUUGAGGACUUUAACGGGGUUAAGAGAAUGCGUACAGGCAUACAAUUCAUCCUUGAUACGCUGUUGUGUUCUUC